UACGUAGGGUGCGAGCGUUGUCCGGAAUUAUUGGGCGUAAAGAGCUUGUAGGCGGUUUGUCGCGUCUGCUGUGAAAUCUCAAGGCUCAACCUUGAGCUUGCAGUGGGUACGGGCAGACUAGAGUGUGGUAGGGGAGACUGGAAUUCCUGGUGUAGCGGUGAAAUGCGUAGAUAUCGGAAGGAACACCUGUGGCGAAAGCGGCUCACUGGACCAUAACUGACGCUGAGGCGCGAAAGCUAGGGGAGCAAACAGG
rnacentral:rRNA from 1 species